AUGGCCAUAUCACAAUUGAACACCAGUUCUCGUACAAUCACUGAAGUUAAGCAAUGUUGAACCUGAUCAGUAUCUAGAUUUGCAACCAAUUGGGAAUACCAGGUGCUGUAA